rnacentral:lncRNA from 1 species
UUUCCUUCUCCCUGUGGCCUUUUCCCAGGGCCUCUGUCAGCCCUCCUCAAGGACACCUGUGAGGCGAGGCAGAAAGGGCCUUCUAGGGGAUCCAGCAAGCCCGCAGGGAUUUUCCUGCUGCUUCCUGUACCCCUGUAUUUCUCUCAGUUCUCUAAACUGACCCAGCUCCAAGUAAGCCUUGAACCUGCUUGCCUCAGUAACCAUGGCAAGUCCAGAUGGCUGCCUUAGGAUCAGAUGUAAACCUUGGAGAAACCAGCUGUGGCCAGUAUGUCAAGUUUAAGCAGACAAACG